ensembl:snRNA U6 U6 spliceosomal RNA
GUGCUUACUUCAGCACCACAUAUACUAAAAUUAAAACAAUACAGAGAAGAUUAGAAUGGCCCUUGCACACGGAAGACAUGCAAAUUCAUGAAGCAUUCUGUAUUUUU